rnacentral:rRNA from 1 species
GACGAACGCUGGCGGCGUGCCUAAUACAUGCAAGUAGGACGCACAGUCUAUACCGUAGCUUGCUACACCAUAGGCUGUGAGUUGCGAACGGGUGAGUAACGCGUAGGUAACCUGCCUAUUAGAGGGGGAUAACUAUUGGAAACGAUAGCUAAUACCGCAUAACAGUAUGUAACACAUGUUAGAUGCUUGAACGAUGCAAUUGCAUCGCUAGUAGAUGGACCUGCGUUGUAUUAGCUAGUAGGUAGGGUAAUGGCCUACCUAGGCGACGAUACAUAGCCGACCUGGAGAGGUGAACGGCCACACUGGGAAUGAGACACGGCCCAGACUCCUACGGGAGGCAGCAGUAGGGAAUCUUCGGCAAUGGGGGGAAACCUGAACGAGCAACGCCGCGUGAGUGAAGAAGGUUUUCGGAUCGUAAAGCUCUGUUGUUAAGGAAGAACGAGUGUGAGAAUGGAAAGUUCAUACUGUGACGGUACUUAACGAGAAAGGGACGGCUAACUACGUG